rnacentral:rRNA from 1 species
GACGAACGCUGGCGGCGUGCUUAACACAUGCAAGUCGAACGAGUGGCGGACGGGUGAGUAAUGUAUGGGGACUGCCCGAUAGAGGGGGAUAACUACUGGAAACGGUGGCUAAUACCGCAUACUAUCGGAUAACCCAUAUGGGAUUAGCUAGUAGGUGGGGUAAAGGCUCACCUAGGCGACGAUCUCUAGCUGGUCUGAGAGGAUGAUCAGCCACACGGGGACUGAGACACGGCCCAGAUUCCUACGGAGGCAGCAGUGGGGAAUAUUGCACAAUGGGCGCAAGCCUGAUGCAGCCAUGCCGCGUGUAUGAAGAAGGCCCUAGGGUUGUAAAGUACUUUCAGUCGGGAGGCGUUACCGACAGAAGAAGCACCGGCUAACUCCGUGCCAGCCGCCGCGGUAAUUC